rnacentral:snRNA from 1 species
AGCUUUGCGCAGUGGCAGUAUCGUAGCCAAUGAGGUUUAUCAGAGGCGCAGUUAAUGCUAAUUGAAAACGUUUUAUGUGCAGGGAGUAGGGAGCCAAGGAUGAACAAUGUAGCCCUGGAUCCUGUCUUCAGAAACCCUCAAGAUGG